GACGAACGCUGGCGGCGUGCCUAAUACAUGCAAGUAGGACGCAGUUGCGAACGGGUGAGUAACGCGUAGGUAACUACCUAUUAGAGGGGGAUAACUAUUGGAAACGAUAGCUAAUACCGCAUACUAGUAGAUGGACCUGCGGGUUAUUAGCUAGUAGGUAGGGUAAUGGCCUCCCUAGGCAACGAUCCAUAGCCGACCUGGGAGGGAGAUCGGCCACACUGGGACUGAGACACGGCCCAGACUCCUCCCGGAGGCCGCAGUAGGGAAUCAUGGGCAAUGGGGGGAAGCCUGACCGAGCAACGCCGCGGUAGUGAAGAAGGUUUUCGGAUCGUAAAGCUCUGUUGUUAAGGAAGCGGUACUUAACCAGAAAGGGACGGCUAACGACGAGCCAGCCGCCGCGGUAAUAC
rnacentral:rRNA from 1 species